UGUGAGAUUCAAUUUUACUUGAUUAGUAAUAAUUAUUAUUAAUUUUUAUAAAUUUUUAAUUAAAAAAAGUAGUUUUAUUUUAGUAAUUUUAAGAAAUAAUAGUUUUAAUAAUAGAGUAUUAGUAUUGAGAAAGAAGUUAUGAAUAAAUGUAAAAUAAAAAUAUUUUUGUACCUUGUGUAUCAGGGUUAAUUAAUUAAAAUAUAAAUAUUAAUUUCUCGAAUUUAAAAGAGCUAAAAUUAUAUAAGUUUAUUGUUGAAUAAAUAUAUUAAAUGUAAUUUUAGUAAUGAAAUGUUAUUCGUUUUUAAUAUAUCUAGUUAUUUAAGAAAAAAAUUUAAUUUUAUAAUUAAAAAUUAAUUAUUAAUUUUUUUUAUUAGUUAGUUUUAAUUGUUUAUUAAUAAGGGGAUGAGCUUUUAUUAAAAAUUUUAAAAAAUAUAAAAUUUUAUGAAAAAUUAUAGGAUUAGAAUUAUCUUUUAGUAAACUAUGUUAUAGUAGAUUUUUUUUAUAUAAGAUUUAUAUGAGUUUUAAAUUAUUUAUUAAAUUAUUUAUUUUAAUGAAAAUUUUUAAGUAAUAAUGAUUAAAUUAGUAAAUUUAUAUGUUAAGGAAAUUUAAGUUUUAGGUUAAUUAAAGGAAUUCGGCAAAUUAUUUUUCACCUGUUUAUUAAAAACAUGGCCUUUUGAGUAUAAUUUUAGGUCUAGCCUGCCCACUGAGGAGUUAAAUGGCCGCGGUAUUUUGACCGUGCUAAGGUAGCAUAAUCAUUAGUUUUUUAAUUGAAAGCUGGAAUGAAUGGUUGAAUGAAAAAAUAACUGUCUCUGAUUAAUUUAAAUUGAAUUUUAUUUGUAAGUAAAAAAGCUUAUAUAUAUUUAAAAGACGAGAAGACCCUAUAGAGUUUUAUAUUAAAAUUAAAUUAAAGUUUUAGGAUUUAAAAAUUAUUUUAAUUUAAAUAUUUGAUUGGGGUGAUUGAAAAAUUAAAUAAACUUUUUUUGUUUUAAAACAUAAAUUUAUGAAUAAAUGAUCCAAUAAUUUUGAUUAUAAGAAUAAAUUACCUUAGGGAUAACAGCGUAAUUUUUUUUUAGAGUUCUUAUCGAAAGAAAAGGUUGCGACCUCGAUGUUGGAUUAAAAUGAAUUUUUGGUGUAGAAGCUAAAAAUAUUAGGUCUGUUCGACCUUUAAAAUUUUACAUGAUCUGAGUUUAAACCGGUGUGAGCCAGGUUGGUUUCUAUCUUUAAUAAAAAAAUAUUUUCUAGUACGAAAGGAUCGAAAAUAUAAUAAAUUAUUUAUUUAAUGAAUACUAU
rnacentral:rRNA from 1 species